UCAGCAGAAUGCUGAUAUUUAUUUGGCAAUGGCUCCUGACAGGUGUUGGCUAAACAAAGAGCUGCAGCUGGGUCGCGCUGCUCGUCAAGCGCUUGUCCGGCAGUUAGCAAAUUAUUGAUUCUUCAUCGGACCAAGGCCGAUUUGUCCAGGACCAAUUUUCGGAUCUCCUGGGCUUCCUGGAACAAGGACUAGUGAUUGUUUCGAGGAGCUGUCAUGGUGUUGGCUCUUGAUAUUUUAUCGUGAAACGCAGAUUUAAUGAUGAAGGCGCGUCGGAACCCAAACGUCAAGAAUCGCCGACGUUCACGGAAGCAGCUACAAUGAGCGGAGAAUCUGAGAGCCAGGAAUGCGGAGCACCUAGCUACUACUAAAAUGGAGAACCCGGACCUAUUAGCGACAUGGAACUGACCAGGACCGUCGUG
rnacentral:lncRNA from 1 species